rnacentral:rRNA from 1 species
AAUAUUGGACACUGGGGGCAAGACUGAUCCAGCCAUGCCCCGUGUGUGAAGAAGGUCGUCGGCUUGUAUAGCACUUUAGGUUGGGAGGAAGGGCUUUAGGCUAAUACUCUGCAAUUUUGACGUUCCCAACAGAAUAAGCACCGGCUGAUUUCGUGCCAGCAGCCGCGGUAAUACGAAUGGUGCAAGCGUUAAUCGGAAUUACUGGGCGUAAAACGAGCGGCGGUGGUUUGUUAAGUUGGAAGUGAAAACCCCGGGCUUUACCGGGGAACUGCUUGCAUAACUGCGGUGCGAGAAUACGGUAGUGGGUAGUAGAAUUUUCUGUGGAGCGGUGAAAUGCGUAGAUAUAGGAAGGAACACCAGUGGCGAAGGCGACUACCUGGACUGAUACUGACACUGAGGUGCGAAAGCGUGGGGAGCAAAC